UUGAAUACAUGUAUGACAUGAUUAAUAAGAAGCUUGAUAGAUGAUGAUUAUGAUGAUGAUGUUUCUAAUAAAUUUCAUCGAUUGUCAAAUUAAUACAAUAUGCUCUAGUUAAGUAUAAUUAAUAAAAUUUAUUAUCAAAAUGUUGGUAGAAGUUUCAAGGGCCAAUGAUAAAAUGGUACAUUUAAAAGUAACAAAUGAUAAAAUUGUUAACAAAUGUUCCUUGAUGAUAAAACAAUACUACCCAUUUAAAUUCCUUAAAAAAAUUACAUGCCAUGCCACUGACAAAAACCGCUACACGUUAACCAGGAUCCAACUGGGUCGCUCACUCUCAACUCGAAUCCAUCUCCCUCACUCUCUCUUUCUCUUUUCUCUGUGAAUCCCUCUCUCUCCGGCGAAUCCGUCGUCCUCCACGAAAUCUGAUUUCUUAGUCCUGGUAAUUUCUAAAUCGUCGUACUUCUGGUAAUUCCUAAAUCUACCGAGAUUGAUGCCUUUACCAAAGCGAGAUUAGAGAGAACAAAUCUAGAUCUAGAAGCACACCACAGAGCUCUCCGCCGUCGUUGUCGACGAUUUCAUCCUCCUUGAUUUGUCUUUUGUCCUUUAACAAAUCUUUUUACGUCAUGGCUUCUCGAAUUAACCACGAUCCUUCUUUUCUACACUCAUUCAUCGGCCCUGACAUCAGAGAGUUCUCGCUGUGGAUCUUCAAAGGCAAGCUGUCCCAUGAGUCAAAGAAGGUGGUCACAAGCAUCCAUCAUCCUUUCUGCUACAUGGCUUGGAAUCUUAUCCUUGCUUUGAUCUACACUGGCCUUUCAAUGGGUCUGGUCAAGUGUAAGUGGGUUAAGCUCUAUUUAAAGGUAUUGGUCUGUUUGUGUUUUGAUGAUUCUCUCCUUGUUUGUUUGUUUACUAGUGUUUGUCUGAUUAUUCUACCUUUGGAUCUCUAAAUCUAUGAGUUAAUAAUUUGGAUCUCAUAAAUAAACUCAAAUAAGGGCUGACCUUCUCAAGUUCUUGAGCAAGGAAUGUGAGGAAAGAGCUGCUACACACUUGAAUUCAUGGGUUUUAUUGUAUUCUAGGUAUGUCAUUUAUGAAAUAGAAUGCAGUGUCAUGAAUCUUUUAUUGAUGAGAUUGUAAAUACAUGUUUGUUUGAGAUGUUUAAUUUGUGCAUGUUAUGUUAUUUGGUAAUUAUGCACACUAGGUGUUUGAGGAAAUGUCUGUGAAUGAAUUUUGGUGUUUUUGCUCAAUGAGAGUGAAGUGGACCUUGAUGUGCUAGCGAGGGCUGACCUUCUCAAGUUCUUGAGCAAGGAAUGUGAGGAAAGAGAUGCUACACACUGCAAACAGAUGCGCAUUAAAGAUGAAACCUUAAGAAAUACGGAAUUCUGUCCAGAUUUUCAGUCAAAUUUGACAGCAAAUUGCGUGCAGCUCAGAGUGAUCCAGGAAACUUGCCUUAUAUCAACGGAAAGGUAGAAGAGUCUAUUUUCCAGAACUUUUCACGGAUCGUUCAUAGCUAUUUUUUAGAGGAAGUUAUGGCUGUCAGAAGGAGGGAAGGUCAUUCUGCCGAAAAUUGGAAAAAGAGAAAAGUCUACCAAGCAAGUGUUCAUAUAACUGGCAAUGUAGCCGUUAAUUGUGUAUGUAACUAUCCAAGUAACUAUUGAAAGCCAUGUAGCAAUGUAGCCGUUAAAUGUGUAUGUAACUAUCCAAGUAACUAUUGAAAGCCAUGUAACUAGUCAUAUAACUAGCAACAUAACUACCAUUUAUG
rnacentral:lncRNA from 1 species